UCCUGCCUCCCGCCCCAUUAUCCUUACGCCCUAUUCACUGCGGUCUCAGAUUCUGGGAGGUCUCGGGAGGCCCAGAAAUGGGAGAAGUCAGAUUGCGGGGUCGUGGGCCCCAAAGCCUAAAUCUUGCCCUUCCUACACCCAGAGCUAAGUGACCAUGCCCAGGCUUCAUUUGACCACAUGGACAAAGGCUCCUUUCCAUUAGUGAGAGCUGCAACUAAUGCAGUCAUCUUCAGAAAGCAAAGACAUAACCCCGUGCCCAGGAUCCGAACUGCGACCAUCACCCAGCAAUGACUGCUCCCCUUAAACACCGAGAAGGGAAUUCACUUGAUUCUAAUUAGGCCUAGAGAAGGCCUCCCCGAGGCCAGAAUCCCUGGGAAGUCUGCCCAGCAUCUAGUCUCUUAGGACUUCGUUGGCCUCCUCUGGGGAAGAACAUCAAUUCAGCCCAGCACCUGCUCCAGUGAGGGGCUGCAGCGAAGAAUGACGUGGGGUCCACGAGGCAGGCUUUUUGAUGGUGAGGCCGCAGCAGCAGCAUCAGCAUCAGCAGCAGCAGCAGCAAGACAUCCUGGAGCUCCAUAUUCAGUAUGGCAAGAGGCAACGGGCGUGAGGGAAGCAGUCCCGAACAGAAAUGCAGGAGCAGCGGUAACAGCAGCAGCCGCUGCCUGCGAGCAUCAGGCAGGGGAGUGAGACAGUGGGCACUCAAAUCCGUUUCCUCCAUCUCUCAGCCACACAGCCCAAGCGAGGCUGUGUGAGAACUUCUCAGUGCACAUUGUAAAUACCAUCUGUCACACUGCCUGCCCAGAUGCGGCCUUCCUCCCUGCAAAGGAAGCAUUCUUUAUUAUUUAUGCAGAAUGCACCCUACUUAAGUGUUGCACCACCAGCAGAGAGAAGACAAAGCCUGGAAGAGUCAAGGACUCCAGGGAUCUGCUUUUCGGAUAGCAGCCGGUUGGGAGGGGCUUGGUCAUCCAUCUUUCUGGGGUGGGAGGUUCAUUCAGUCGGGCAAGGGCACUUCCCUAGGAAUUAGGAGGCCUGCGUUCUCAGCUUAGUUCUCUCACCAGCUUGCUGUGUGACCUUGGGCAGACACCUCACCCCCAUGGGCCUCCAUUUUUUUUUUCCAUCUGUAAAUGCAGGGGUCAGACUAGAUGAUCUAUGACAUCCCUUCCAGCUCUAAAUUCAAUUGGUGUCCCUCUAACCCUUCUCCAUCCUGUGCGGGCCCAGAAGCCUGUUCAUUACCGUCAGCUCUCCUUCCCAGCUGGCAGGGGAAAUACAGUUCAGGAUCUGAUUUCUUUUUCUUUUUCUUUUUCUUUUUUGAGACAGAGUUUUGCUCUUGUUGCCCAGG
rnacentral:lncRNA from 1 species